rnacentral:rRNA from 1 species
UACAGAGGUCCCAAGCGUUGUUCGGAUUCACUGGGCGUAAAGGGUGCGCAGGUGGGUUGGCAAGUUCGAUGUGAAAGCCCCGGGCUUAACCCGGGAAUGGCAUUGGAAACUGCUGAUCUGGAGGUCGGAGGGGGACUGGAAUUCUUGGUGUAGCAGUGAAAUGCGUAGAUAUCGAGAGGAACACCAGUGGCGAAGGCGAGUCCCUGGACAGGUCCUGACGCUGAGGCACGAAAGCUAGGGGAGCAAACAGGA